GGAUAUUGCGCUAUCCUGUUAGACUGUAAAGGUUCUUUAUAUUCAUUAACUUAGGCUUUAUUAACUAAUGCUUAUUUGAUUGUUGUUUGAUCGUUUCGUCUGUGAUUCUUUUGGAUGAGUACCAUUCGCCAGUUCACAGUUCAUUGCAACAAUGUGAUAAAACAUUUAAGUUUUAUCGAAUAUGUUCUCAUUCGUGUAACGUCACAGUACCCAAAUUGCACCCAUGUAGCAAACAUAGCAGCGGAAAUCUUACAAGCUUUCUUAGAUACUUAAUAAAACAAAACAUCGGUUAUUCGAUUUUUACGGAUGUGAAUCUAAGCAUAGAUGCAAGUAGAGUACUCCUCAUUACAGAAUCAAAGAUCUUUUAGAGUUAGGUUCAAACCCAUUUUUCUAUAAUUCAACAUGGAUUCAAAUUAAUUUGGUGAAACUAUAUAAUAGUAAAUAAGGAUACAUCUACAAGAUAAAAACAGAAUGGAAACUUUUGUCUGGAUCAUAAAUAAAUGCAAGUGAAAAUACUGUAAAAAUAGGUGCAAUUUGCGUACCCUUACGUUAUACUACAUUUGAACUUUUGUUGUGAUAAUUUGUCAUGUCAUGCUACUCGCUUGAGGAUUUUAGGGCGAACGUGCAGUUGUUAAUGUAAAAAUCAACGACGACGUCAUAUGCAAAAUAGCGAUAAACAGAUUAUCAAACUAGAGGAUGUUUCUCGGCCACAUCUCAUCUCAGGGCUGUCGACAGUGCAUUCAUGUACAACUUAUGAUGUUGUUAUAUCAAAUAUUUGUGAAGUUCAGCCACCACUAUAUUUCCUUGAUUUAUAUAAAAAUGAGGAGAUGUUGUAUGAUUGCAAAAAUUAAAUGAGACAACUAUCAACCAGAUUUAAAAUGAAGUGGUAGUUAGCAAUUAUAGGCCACUGUAAGGUUUUCAACAAUUAAAAAAAAACAUACCGUAUAGUCAGCUAUAAAAGGCCUGACAUAAAAAAUGAUAAACAAUUCAAAAGAAAAAACCAAUGACCUAAUUUAUAACAAAUAUACGAAAAACAAAUAUGACAUACAUGAACCAACAACAACAUAUGUGCUAUAGGCUCCUGACUUGAGGCAGGCACAUACAGAAUGUGGCGGUGUUAAACAGGUUUGUUGGCGCUCAACCCUCCCCAUACCCUGGGACAGUGGUUCAACAAUAUAACAUUAUUAGAACAAACUGUAAAACAUUAACUGCAAGUGGCUUAACUAAAAAAUUGACACGCGGUAAAAUAUAAAACAAUAGACAUAAGGCACCGAAAUAAGAGUACUAUUAAGUCACUAUGGAAUGAUUUUUAAUUGUCAGUUGUGUCAAACGAAUAAUGUUAAUUCGAAAUUCAAUAUAAUAAAACUCUCAAAGCCGGUUGAGAACACGAUUAGUCAAGCAGCGACGCAAUAUUAUGUAACAUAUGAAUGCAAGCAAAAUCAAAGGAGCUUGACUAAAUAAUUUAUUAUCAUUAAUUAUGAAACAAACAAAACAUAAACGAACAUUCUUUUCACAUAUUCAGUAGUUACUCGUUCAGUUGUACCAUGUUCGUUUAGAAUUGUGAAAUGUAACUCAAUCCAAUGCAUCCUCUUGAGUAUCCCUCUUUGUACAACUUGUGAAUGUUAAUUUGCAUGACAUGUGACAAUACAAAGUUGAGCACACAAACAAAAUGCGUAAAAAAGGUCUAGUUAGUAAUUCGGACGAUAAUAGGGGAUUUACAAACUCAAAUAUUGAAGACAAACUUAUUACGUCUUGGUGAACAUUAGAAGUAAACCACCAAAGAAACUUAAAUACAGAUUUAUCAAAUGACUUUUGAAAUCAAACUUAAUAUCAUGAACUAAUAGUUUAAAAUAUUGAAAUGAGUAAUACGAUAUGUAUGGAAUGCGACAAUAUCACAGUUACGAAUCAACACACAUAUCAACUCAAGCAAAUUUUACCUUAGAUGAAUUUGACUAUUUUUUAUAUCCUUUUUGGUCAUGUAGCUCUUCAACUGUUUCGUUCUUAUACAUCAAUAUCUUUCAAAUGUUCGGCUUUGAGCGUUCCUGAUGAAGAUAAAUCUAGAAAAGCUCUUCUGGCGCAUGAUAUUCAUAACAUGUUGUUUUCAUUUUUUUAACCCUUUCCUAUACGUGGAUGCAACCACUAGUAAGUUUUCGUAAGGCCAGGAAUAUUAUUUUUAUCUGUGAUUUUCUGCAGUAUAUAUAUUUGACAUUGCAAAGAUUAAAAUAAAAGCAGUACUGGUUGCAUCUCCAUUUGUAACAAUUUUAUGUGGACGAAAAGGAUUACGCCACACAUGUUUGUAUUCAGUGUACACAUUUAAAAAAAAAACGCCGAUUUGAUGGAUUUUUCUUUAUCGUGUUAGUUUAACACAAACCUUCGUUUACCAAAAGCUGAAUUUAGCAUAAACGAGCUAAACAGCAUUUACGUUUUUAAUUUGCGUGCUUCAUAACCUCGUACCUUUUGUAAAUGUUUUUAUUGCAGGAUCUCCUGUAUAAUUUAGAUAUUAAUCCUAAUUUGUUAAAUGUUUGUUUGUUUUGAGAUUGUGACACAGUGAUGGCUGCUGUACCCAUAUUUUGACAAUGUUACUUAUUAUGUCUGUUUUUUCACGCAUCGUUGUAAAUAUAAUGGAAUUUGAUGCGACUGUCAUACAAGUCAGAGGUAUAGCGCUAUAAAGCCAGGUUCAAUCCAACAUUUUCUACAUUUGAAAAUGCCUGUACCAAGUCCGGAAUAUGACAGUUGUUGUCCAUUAGUUUGAUGUGUUUUAUCAUUUGAUUUUGCCAUUUGAUUAGGGACUUUCCGUUUUGAAUUUUCCUCGGAGUUCAGUAUUUUUGUGAUUUUACUUUUUAUAGAUAUAAUUAUAGAUGUACAUUCUACGAGUGUCAUAAUCUCAUGGAAUUUUCCAGUUACUUUAGAUUAUAUAGUACGAACAGAACUCAAACUGUAUGAUAACGAUGAUUCAAUUUUGGUAAAUGGUUUUUUAUGUUCUAGAGAACAUGGUUUAUUCUGACCUGAGUACAAACAUAAACAUAACUUGGACCUCACCAACAGAUCGAUCAAGUAUUGAUGUUAUUUUUGAUACUCUCGUAGACACACAGAAAAACAAUUUUGCGAAUGAAAUUCCAAAAGAUAAUUCCCAGAAAUACAGGUAUCUGAAUAAAAAUGGCUUGAACAUUCAGUUUACAUUAAAAGACGUUUUAAUUUUGGACGUUGGGUUAUACAAGUCUGCAACAGCUUCCGACAGUACAGUGAUUGAGGGAUGUGCCUUGUUAGUGAUUACAGAGCGCCCUAAGAAUCCAUAUUUCAUAUAUGAUAAACAACUUUUUGUUGGAAGUACAAGUGUAUUUAAGUGCUCAUCUGGUGUUAAACGACAUCCAACGUAUCUUCCUAGCAAUUUACCGUACACCUGGUACAAGGCGAUACAUUAAGCAUCUACCCCAUUACAAAGUCUGAUAAAGGAAAGAAUGUAGCAUGUACUGUUACUGACGUUAGAAUGUAGCAUGUACUGUUACUGACGAUAUAGGGAAAAUUUCUGCAUCGAGCAAUACAGUUAGUUUAGAUCCGUACUAUGGUCCUGAAUCUAUUAGACUUUCAACAGACUCUGGAUCAGUCAAUGUUGCAAAAGGCAGUCGCUUUACAGUAACUUGCUUCGCAAUAUGUUAUCCCAAAUGUUAUUUUGUAUGAUAACAUGAAUCGAAUGGAUUGAUCUCAGACAUGACCAAUGACCAAACAUACACAAUGAACGAUGUAUCUCAAAGUGAUGAUGGUAUUUAUUCAUGCGCGGUUACACAUCAAAAUGAUACUGCAAGAUUAGGAAGUAUUGAAGUAACAAUAAAUGUUUAUGAAAGAGAAACCGAAACAUCAACAGAAGGAGCUAAAACCUUAAGUGGAGAAACAACGUCAGACUCUUUAAAUCUUCAAAGCUAUUCAGGCGGAUACCCAGUUGAAAUUAAACAAAAGAAAUGGAACUUUUUCUUAGAGAAGACUUUUCAAAAGCAGAUAAAGUGACACAAGUCCCGGAUGAAGAUUCCAAUGCAAAAAGCCGAAAAACUGACAACGGUAUGUAGACAGCAGAAUUCACGUUCGUAGCAAUGUUUAGAACAAGUGCUAUUGUAGUUUGUAAAAUAUAUGUUGUCAGUAUUUAACCAGAAAUCGUAAUAACUGUUUAGCUUUA